UAGCUCACUAGUCGAGUCGGCCUGCGCGGAAGAUGUAACGGGGCUCAAAUAUAGCACCGAAGCUGCGGCAUCAGUAGCAAUACUGUUGGGUAGGGGAGCGUUCUGUAAGCGGAUGAAGGUGAAUCGAGAGGUUUGCUGGACGUAUCAGAAGUGCGAAUGCUGACAUAAGUAACGAUAAAACGGGUGAAAAACCCGUUCGCCGGAAGACCAAGGGUUCCUGUCCAACGUUAAUCGGGGCAGGGUGAGUCGGCCCCUAAGGCGAGGCUGAAAAGCGUAGUCGAUGGGAAACGGGUUAAUAUUCCCGUACUUGGAUAAACUGCGAUGUGGGGACGGAGCAGGUUAGGUUAUCGCACUGUUGGAUAUGUGCGUUUAAGUUGGUAGGUGAGAAGUUUAGGCAAAUCCGGACUUCUUUAACACUGAGAGAUGAUGACGAGGCUCUACGGAGCUGAAGUAACCGAUACCACACUUCCAGGAAAAGCCACUAAGCUUCAGGUUUAUCUAAACCGUACUGAAAACCGACACAGGUGGUCAGGUAGAGAAUACUCAGGCGCUUGAGAGAACUCGGGUGAAGGAACUAGGCAAAAUAGCACCGUAACUUCGGGAGAAGGUGCGCCGGCGUAGAUUGUAGUCCCUUGCGGGCGAAGGUUGAACCGGUCGAAGAUACCAGCUGGCUGCAACUGUUUAUUAAAAACACAGCACUCUGCAAACACGAAAGUGGACGUAUAGGGUGUGAUGCCUGCCCGGUGCUGGAAGGUUAAUUGAUGGUGUAAUCGAAAGAGAAGCUCCUGAUCGAAGCCCCAGUAAACGGCGGCCGUAACUAUAACGGUCCUAAGGUAGCGAAAUUCCUUGUCGGGUAAGUUCCGACCUGCACGAAUGGCAUAAUGAUGGCCAGGCUGUCUCCACCCGAGACUCAGUGAAAUUGAAAUCGCCGUGAAGAUGCGGUGUACCCGCGGCUAGACGGAAAGACCCCGUGAACCUUUACUAUAGCUUGACACUGAACAUUGAAUUUUGAUGUGUAGGAUAGGUGGGAGACUAUGAAGAUGAUACGCCAGUAUUGUUGGAGUCGUCCUUGAA
rnacentral:rRNA from 1 species